ensembl:lncRNA
UUGCCACUUGACCUUGGGCAAGUCACUUCAGGCCUCUGGACCCCAGUUUCCUCAUCAGUAAAGCAGGGCAGCUGAGUUUCAUGAUCCCUUUGGUUUCAUUUCAGCUUCAAGAAGUCUUGUUGUUCAGUCGCUCAGUCAUGUACAACUCUUUGCAACCCCAUGGACUGCAGCAUGCCAGGCUUCCCUGUCUGUCACUAUCUCCUGGAGUUUGCUCAAACUCAUGUACAUUGUCAGUGAUGCCAUCCAGCAAUCUCAUCCUCUGUCGCCCCCUUCUCCUCCUACCCUCAGUCUUUUCCUAUCAGUCACAUAGGAAAAAGCUGAAAUGAAGACAUAAGGCUAAGACAUCUCUAAGAAGUCGGCAAGGCAUCUUCAUAUAAAAAGCACUUUAAAAGAAUAAUCUCUGGGGAAAAAAAAAGAAUAAUCUCUGAUGAGCUCCUUAUGGCAGAGAUCAGGCCUUAUUCAUCUUUGUGUUUCCUGUACCCAAGGUUGCCACGUACAGUUGAGCCGGUCGUUCACCGUGCAGAGGAGCUUAGUGUGAGGUGAUAAAGAAUCGGCCUGCCAAUGCAGGAGACACAGGUUCGAUCCCUGGUCUGGGAAGAUCCCAUGUGUCUCAGAGCAACUAAGCCUGUGCACCAUAACUACUGAGCCUGUGCUCUAAAGCCCAGGAGCUGCCACUACUGAAGCCCGUGUGCCUGGAGCCUGCGGUCUGCAACGACAGAAGCCACCGCAAUGAGGAGCCUGUGCAUCGCGAUGAAGAGGAGCCCCUGCUCGCUGCAACUAGAGAAAAAGCCCUUGCGGCAAUGAAGAUGCAGCAUAACCUAAAAGAAAAUAUAUAAAAUACUUUUUUUAAAAAGCCUUUUUGCUCAUCUCUAUCUCUUGUAAUCAUCUCAUUCUUUCAGGCCCUGCCAAAUAUUACUUCUAGGUGAGGUCUUCCUCCAGCCUCAGUUCAUCGCUCCAGUGCAUUCCUCCUUGGAGACUCGACAGCACCUGGUUUAUAUCGAGAAUGGCACUUCCUGUGGUCUUACAUCAGAGUGGGUGUCUCCCACUACCCAGUGAGCCCCUCAUAGGCAAGGGCUACCUUAUUCAGC